AGCUUUGCACAGUGGCAGUAUCACAGCCAAUGAGGUUUAUCCGAGGCAUGUUUAUUGCUAAUAAAAUAAUUCAUGAAAUGAUGUCUUAGCUUCAGUGGAAUUGACAAUUCUUUCC
rnacentral:snRNA from 1 species